rnacentral:rRNA from 1 species
UGAAUACGAGACGCUAAGGCGUCGAAGUAGUGUAUGUCAUACUUCCAAGAAAAGCUUGCACUGUCAUAGAUAAAAAACGCCUGUACCAUAACCGACACAGGUGGGUAGGUAGAGUAUACUAAGGGGCGCGAGAUAACUCUCUCUAAGGAACUCGGCAAAAUAACUCCGUAACUUCGGGAGAAGGAGUGCCUUAUUCGUAAGGUUGCAAUAACAAGAUCCAAGCAACUGUUUAUCAAAAACACAGGUCUCCGCUAAGUCGUAAGACGAUGUAUGGGGGCUGACGCCUGCCCAGUGCCAGAAGGUUAAAGAAGUUGGUUAGCAAUUGCGAAGCUGAUAACUGAAGCCCUGGUGAACGGCGGCCGUAACAAUAACGGUCCUAAGGUAGCGAAAUUCCUUGUCGGGUAAGUUCCGACCCGCACGAAAGGCGUAAUGAUUUGGAUACUGUCUCGGAGAGGGGCUCGGUGAAAUAGACCUGUCUGUGAAGAUGCGGACUACCUGCACCAGGACAGAAAGACCCUAUGAAGCUUUACUGUAACUUGAAAUUGAAAUUGGACUUUAUUCGCGCAGUAUAGGUGGGAGGCGUUGAUUAUAAUCUUGUGGGAUUAUUGGAGCCAUCAGUGAGAUACCACUCUUGUAAUGUUAGAUUUCUAACUUUGAAUCAUUAUCUGGUCAAAGAACAGUUUCAGGCGGGCAGUUUGACUGGGGCGGUCGCCUCCUAAACGGUAACGGAGGCGUACAAAGGUUUCCUCUGAACGGUUAGAAAUCGUAUCUAGAGUGUAAAGGCAUAAGGAAGCUUGACUGUGAGACCUACAAGUCGAGCAGGGACGAAAGUCGGUCUUAGUGAUCUGACGGUACUGAGUGGAAAGGCCGUCACUCAACGGAUAAAAGUUACUCUAAGGAUAACAGGCUGAUCUCCCCCAAGAGUUCACAUCGACGGGGGGGUUUGGCACCUCGAUGUCGGCUCAUCGCAUCCUGGGGCGGUAGUACGUCCCAAGGGUUGGGCUGUUCGCCCAUGAAAGCGGUACGCGAGCUGGGUUCAGAACGUCGUGAGACAGUUCGGUCCAUAUCCGGUGUAGGCGUUAGAAUAUUGAGAGGAGCCUUCUUUAGUACGAGAGGACCGAGAAGGACAUACCUCUGGUGUACCAGUUAUCGUGCCAACGGUAAACGCUGGGUAGCUAUGUAUGGAGUGGAUAACCGCUGAAAGCAUCUAAGUGGGAAGCCCACCUCAAGAUAAGUAUUCUCC